rnacentral:lncRNA from 1 species
CCUAAGUUGAACAAAGGUAUAUACAGAAAAACAUAUUAAUUAACAUUACAUUGCAUUGUACAUUUGUCGAGGAAGCAUUAAAUAUGAGUGACUGGCUUCUCGAUCCUUACUCGAAUGUUUUUAACAUGUCAAAAAUUAUCGGGUAGAAUUUCAGAUUGAUGACGACCAAGAUAGACAACCCCGAGCAUUCUUGUCGAUUGAGUCAGACCAGUCUCCCGAUUACUUAAUUUGUCAUGAUCGGGAUUGAUCGAGUUGAUCUGAUCGGUAGUGUGAACCUAGCUUUAGUUACCCGCACAAGAUCAGCCAGAUUCACACAGCCGAUUAGAUCAACUCUAUGAACCCGAUUGCUCAAAUUCCCACGAUCAAGCGGGACCACAUUCUUAAUCAGGC